UCCCACAUUUUCCUUUUUCCCCUGUGCUCCUUUCCGCCGCCUCCUUCAGAUCCAAGGACUGUCUCCUCUUUCCUCUCUCCUUCCUCUCUCUCCUCCUCCAGAUCUCACUCCAAAUUGAUGAUUCUAGGGCUCCUUCCUCUCUCCUCCUCCAGAUCUCACUCCAGAUCUCAUUGUUCUCCCGCGAAGCUCGUCUCCCCUCAAAUCUCGUCGCCGAAUCCUCCCUGGAAUCUCGUCGCCGGCUCCUCCCUCGAAGCUCGUCAUCCCUUGAAGCUCGUCGUCCCUCGAAGAUUGUCGUUUACUCCUUCCUCGACUGCCUUCCCUAUUUUCGAGCGAAUUUGGUAUGUAAUUUCAUAUUUUCUUUCUCUAUUUUUUGGUUUUUCGAUUCACAAACCUCGUCUUAUCCGAGUGCCAACCACCGUAUCCGACCCGUAUUUCGUACCCGGAUCGGUGUCGGGUCGUAUCGAUGCCGGUACGAUGGCCAAACCGUCGUGUCCGAGUAACGUAGAUUAUAGUAUUAUAGUCUUGACUAAUGUGACAAUUUGGUGAAAAUAAAUAAAACUCCUCUGUUCCUGUAAGAAAGUUAGCAUUUAAUUCACUAAAGUUAUGAAACUUAAAAAAAACUCUCACCUACACUUCUCAGUUGUUAUUAGUUUGUUCUUUGUAAUAAACCAUCAGCAUAUUCACUAUAAUUACUUGUAUAUAUUUAAUAAGAAAGUGAAUAGUGUAGCGUAUGCUUGUGUUAAUUAUUUUCUCUUUUACUCUUUGUUCUAUGGUUCUCAUAGCAUAUUACAACUUAUCUUUGUUGAUUACACCAUCUUGCUGAGCAUUGUCCUUUUUGUUUCUUUCUAGUGGUUCGUGCUACAUAAAUAUAACUGUUUUGGAAUUAAUUAUGUGGACACAAAAAGCUAGUGAUAAUUCAUAAUUCCUAUUUCUACAUAUCAAUUUUUUCUUUUAUUGUCCAAGUUUGUAGUUAUUGAUUAAGAAAAGAUGUCAAUCUUGCAAUGAUUAUCAUUUCAAAUGUGAUGCCAAGGUAUGUUCUGAGUGGUCAUUUGCUCAAGCCAACUACCAGAAGCCACACUAUGUUGCUACCUUUGGAGCUCAAUAUACUAUCAUCAUUACUGGUUAGGAUGGCAGGUACUUAAAAAAUUUUCAAGGGGAAAAAGAGAUGGGACUCAAUGAGGAAUUGGAUUGCCUGGAUGAAGGGCCUAGAAGCAUAGCAUCACUUUUAGGCCUAGCACCGUGUGAAUUAGAGGAUCGUUAUGCAUCUGCAAUUUUCUUUGAACAAAACUUUCAUUAUUUGUACAUAUAUUUGUUGAUAACUAACUAUUAUGAUUAUUGAGGUGAAGUCCUUUCAAUGAAA